AACAAACGCUGGCGGCAUGCCUAACACAUGCAAGUCGAACGAGACCUUCGGGUCUAGUGGCGCACGGGUGCGUAACGCGUGGGAACCUGCCCUUAGGUUCGGAAUAACUCCCCGAAAGGGGUGCUAAUACCGGAUAAUGUCUUCGGACCAAAGAUUUAUCGCCUUUGGAUGGGCCCGCGUUGGAUUAGCUAGUUGGUAGGGUAAAAGCCUACCAAGGCGACGAUCCGUAGCUGGUCUGAGAGGAUGAUCAGCCACACUGGGACUGAGACACGGCCCAGACUCCUACGGGAGGCAGCAGUGGGGAAUAUUGGACAAUGGGCGAAAGCCUGAUCCAGCAAUGCCGCGUGAGUGAUGAAGGCCUUAGGGUUGUAAAGCUCUUUUACCCGGGAUGAUAAUGACAGUACCGGGAGAAUAAGCUCCGGCUAACUCCGUG
rnacentral:rRNA from 1 species